AUUGAACGCUGGCGGCAGGCCUAACACAUGCAAGUCGAGCGGAUGAAGGGAGCUUGCUCCUGGAUUCAGCGGCGGACGGGUGAGUAAUGCCUAGGAAUCUGCCUGGUAGUGGGGGAUAACGUCCGGAAACGGGCGCUAAUACCGCAUACGUCCUGAGGGAGAAAGUGGGGGAUCUUCGGACCUCACGCUAUCAGAUGAGCCUAGGUCGGAUUAGCUAGUUGGUGGGGUAAAGGCCUACCAAGGCGACGAUCCGUAACUGGUCUGAGAGGAUGAUCAGUCACACUGGAACUGAGACACGGCCCAGACUCCUACGGGAGGCAGCAGGGGGGAAUAUUGGACAAUGGGCGAAGGCCUGAUCCAGCCAUGCCGCGUGUGUGAAGAAGGUCUUCGGAUUGUAAAGCAUUUUAAGUUGGGAGGAAGGGUAGUAAGUUAAUACCUUGUUUUUUUGACGUUACCAACAGAAUAAGCCCCGGCUAACUUCGUG
rnacentral:rRNA from 1 species